rnacentral:rRNA from 1 species
UUCCACACGUACCCAUCCCGAACACGACCGUUAAGCCCUCCAGCGCCAAUGGUACUUGGACCGCAGGGUCCUGGGAGAGUAGGACGUCGCCAAGC